GAUGAAGAACGUAGCGAAAUGCGAAAAGUAAUGUGAAUUGCAGAAUUCAGUGAAUCAUCGAAUCUUUGAACGCACAUUGCGCCCGCUGGUACUCCGGCGGGCACGCCUGUCCGAGCGUCAUUUCAACCCUCAAGCCCUCCUUCGGGAUGGGCCUGGUGUUGGGGCUCGGCCGCCAUCUCCGGCGGCCGUCCCCUAAAUACAGUGGCGGUCACGUCGCGACUCCUUUGCGUAGUAGAAACACCUCGCUCCGGAUAGCAACGCGGUCCACGCCGUAAAACCCCCAAUUUUCAAUGGUUGACCUCGGAUCAGGUGGGAAUACCCGCUGAACUUAAGCAUAUCAAUAAGCGGAGGA
rnacentral:misc_RNA from 1 species